rnacentral:rRNA from 1 species
AGUGAACGCUGGCGGUAGGCCUAACACAUGCAAGUCGAACGGCAGCACAGUAAGAGCUUGCUCUUACGGGUGGCGAGUGGCGGACGGGUGAGGAAUACAUCGGAAUCUGCUUUUUCGUGGGGGAUAACGUAGGGAUACUUACGCUAAUACCGCAUACGACCUACGGGUGAAAGCAGGGGAUCUUCGGACCUUGCGCGAUUGAAUGAGCCGAUGUCGGAUUAGCUAGUUGGCGGGGUAAAGGCCCACCAAGGCGACGAUCCGUAGCUGGUCUGAGAGGAUGAUCAGCCACACUGGAACUGAGACACGGUCCAGACUCCUACGGGAGGCAGCAGUGGGGAAUAUUGGACAAUGGGCGCAAGCCUGAUCCAGCCAUACCGCGUGGGUGAAGAAGGCCUUCGGGUUGUAAAGCCCUUUUGUUGGGAAAGAAAAGCAGCAGGUUAAUACCCCGCUGUUCUGACGGUACCCAAAGAAUAAGCACCGGCCAACUUCGUG